AUGCCUUUUAUAAGCCAGCCCCUGCCUGCUGCCUCUGCGCCCACCCAGCCCCGUGGCCCUGGGAGGGAGAACGGGUUCACGGGGUGCCCCGAAUCGCCCGCCGGGGCAGGGAGGGGAAGGCAGGGAUGCCGAGCAGCUGAAAAGCAGCUGUGCCAGAGCCCGAGGCCUCUGCGCAGGCUCUGCAGCCCCGGAUUUGGGUUCUUUUAUGGCGGCUGGAACAGGGAGCACAGCCUGGGAGCAGCCCCCGGCCGCCGGCUUUUGAUGCUAACGAGCAGCCGCAGAUUUUUCCCAUUACAGACAAUAAAAAAAAAAAAACACAGCACCACUCCAACCCCAGCGCUGGGAGGACAAGGGCUCGGCGGGGAGUUUCGGUUUCGUUUCAUAGGACUCAACUUCUCCAGUCGGGCCCUCUCCACGUCCCCGAGGUGGCCAAGGGCUGGAGGCCACCAAACGGUGCCAGGCUGGGCUGCCACCACCCCUCUCUGCUCUCCUCCAGGCCCGUGGCAGCGUGCCACUGCUGUCCCUCGUGUUUAUGAAGGCAAAUUCUGCUUUUUUCAGCCAGCCCAGCUCCCUGACCCACCUCGCAGGGGCUCAGGCAGGUGGCACCUAGAGGGGAUGGUGGCCCUGGGGACGCGUGGGGACACAGCCAGACCCCAGCACCCACGGCUGUGCCGAGGCUGCGUGCGAGGCCAGGAGCUCACAGAGGCAAGAAACCACCACGAAGAGCUCAGCGCGCCCCCAGGGCACCCCGGUUAUGCCAAAGGAGGGAAAAGAAAACAAACAAAGGAGAACGAAGCCACCUCCUGUCAUCUCUCUCCUCCGUCCCUGCCAAGACAGCUCCGGGGAGCUGCAGGCUGCGUAAACACGCGCAGAAACCCUGCUCCACCCCUGGCCUGGAGCUGCGGAAGAUUUCAGGGAUUACCAAGGCCUUCCUCAAAGCCCCGGGAGCCCGGAGGCUGCUCCAGGGAUGCACAUCUCCUGGCCAUGCUGUCCCUGUCCCCACGUCCCCUCAGUUGUGCUGCAGCUGUUCUGAGGAGCAAGCCUCUUGCUCUGCUUUGGGUAUUCCUAAGACAGAGGGGCACUGAGAUCUGGUCCUGCUGA
rnacentral:lncRNA from 1 species